GCCCAGUGAUGAGACCAAGGCGAAUGCGAGGCAGUUGGCUGAGAGGGUCAGGGUCUCCCAGCUCCUAAUUGGUGGGUAAUCUUGGCAGGGCAGCGGAGAUUUGCUGCUCUGCUGUAAGGGCCCACCCACAGUAAGGAAGCUCCGCCCCCCUCGCACUUGCCUCCUGAGAUUGAGGAGGGGGUGGGGGGGGGGGAGCUGACAGUGUGAGUGUGUUGCCUGUCGUGUGUUUGUGCGUCUGCGGUGUGUGUGUGUUUACGUUGGGAGGCUGGGAGGCUCCCCUCUGUAAGCAGCCAGUGACCUAUGAGCGGCUUCUUUGGUAAUCUGAGGGCA